UGGGGAAUAUUGCACAAUGGGCGCAAGCCUGAUGCAGCCAUGCCGCGUGUAUGAAGAAGGCCUUCGGGUUGUAAAGUACUUUCAGCGGGGAGGAAGGCGAUAAGGUUAAUAACCUUGUCGAUUGACGUUACCCGCAGAAGAAGCACCGGCUAACUCCGUGCCAGCAGCCGCGGUAAUACGGAGGGUGCAAGCGUUAAUCGGAAUUACUGGGCGUAAAGCGCACGCAGGCGGUCUGUCAAGUCGGAUGUGAAAUCCCCGGGCUCAACCUGGGAACUGCAUUCGAAACUGGCAGGCUAGAGUCUUGUAGAGGGGGGUAGAAUUCCAGGUGUAGCGGUGAAAUGCGGAGAGAUCUGGAGGAAUACCGGUGGCGAAGGCGGCCCCCUGGACAAAGACUGACGCUCAGGUGCGAAAGCGUGGGGAGCAAACA
rnacentral:rRNA from 1 species